AUUGAACGCUGGCGGCAGGCCUAACACAUGCAAGUCGAGCGAGCGGCGGACGGGUGAGUAAUGUAUGGGGACUGCCCGAUAGAGGGGGAUAACUACUGGAAACGGUGGCUAAUACCGCAUACUAUCGGAUAACCCAUAUGGGAUUGGCUAGUAGGUGGGGUAAAGGCUCACCUAGGCGACGAUCUCUAGCUGGUCUGAGAGGAUGAUCAGCGACCUUGGGACUGGGACAGGGCCCAGACUCCUACGGAGGGAGCAGUGGGGAAUAUGGGACAAUGGGCGCAAGCCUGAGGCAGCCAUGCCGCGUUUAUGAAGAAGGCCUUAGGGUUGUAAAGUACUUUCAGCGGGGAGGCGUUACCCGCAGAAGAAGCACCGGCUAACUCCGUGCCAGCCGCCGCGGUAAUAC
rnacentral:rRNA from 1 species